AAAUAAAGUAUUCAUUAAGAUUAAUUAUGGAAUUUUUGAAACAAUUGGAGUUGCACACCGAAAUCCUUGCCAUUAUAUGAAUAAAGAAAGUUAACAGAAGAGAGAAAAGGCCCAAAUUAUCAGGACCCGGCCCAUUCCGCAUCCAUGUUCUAAUUUUAGGGUUUCUCCUUGCUUAUAAAUACGCAAAGCAAGGGCUUAACUCACAGGGUCUCAGUAUGUUGCCUCUUCAAUCUGUUAAGGUUUCAGUCAAACAGGUUCCUUUCGAUUAGGUUUCUUCGUUCUCUCAAAUUUUAGGAUUUAUGUUUCUGUAUGCUAUUUUCUUUCCUUCUUUUAAAAUCAUGUGAUGAGGAAAAAAACUGCAACAAUAUGAUUGGAUUCGUUCCAUGAUUCCUUGUAUUUAAGUCUCUGAUGAUUGAUUUUCGACUGCCACCAUUGUUUGAAAUAGGUUCUUUUGUAUUUUUGUUUUCUAAUUUUGAAUUUGCAUCUCCCAUUCUUUUCAUCUUUAUUCGACAAGAUCAGUAAGGAGAUGUGAUGAUUUUUACAUUGGUCCGUGUUUCUGAAUUACCGUGACCGACAAAUCUUACCAAUUUCUGAUCUCCAAUUACAGUAUACGCUAUUCCGAUUUAUUACGUGAGCGGAAAUUUAAUUGUGUAUGAGAGCCAUUAAUUUGUUAAUUUUCCAAUUGUUUUUAUUGUUAUUCACGUAAUACCUAUUUUUGAUUAACGUUUUUUAAUUGUUUGAUUUACAUCUUGUUCUGCGAUGAUGAUUUACGAAUAAAAUUCACAUGUCAGACUUCAGAGAUUUAAAAAUCAAUGAGAAUGACAAUUCAUUUUCUGAGCGGAUCUUCUGGCAUUGUUUGUAUUAUGCUAUUUGCUAUUAUUGCAAUGAUUUAGUUGUUCUGUUUGAUAUAAUUUCUUUGACGGGAGAUUUCUGAUCUGGAGUCUCGCACUUUUUUGAGGGCAAACAAAUUGUGUUUGCAUGUUCUCAAGUAACCGUCAUAAAACAAUUCUCCGGCGUGACGGAGCUGCCCUUAGGGGUGGCAUCUCCGCUAGAGUGGUCUCAUAUUCCAUUGCCUUGUGGAGCGGCGUCGCUGCCUUUACCAUUUGGGACUGGCCAUGAGACAAACAUUCU